rnacentral:rRNA from 1 species
GACGUAGGGCGCGAGCGUUGUCCGGAUUGAUUGGGCGUAAAGAGCUCGUAGGCGGCUCGUUGCGUCGGCUGUGAAAACCCGCAGCUCAACUGUGGGCCUGCAGCUGAUACGGGCGGGCUGGAGUUCGGUAGGGGAGACUGGAAUUCCUGGUGUAGCGGUGAAAUGCGCAGAUAUCAGGAGGAACACCGGUGGCGAAGGCGACGUCCUGGACCGGCAUUGACGCUGAGGCGCGAAAGCCAGGGGAGCAAACGGG